rnacentral:lncRNA from 1 species
UGACUUGUUAAUGUGUGGUAUGGGAUUGGGUUUAUUUCAAGGUGUGAAUAAGAUUGAAGUAGCACGAAAUCGAGUACAUACAUUGGUGCGCACACUCAAAGCUUCUUGUAUGUUGCUUGACCAUAUAAGCCAGAAGAAAGAGUUGUUUUCUAUGCAUGAUGUAGUUCGCGAUGUCGCCAUAUCAAUUGCAUCUACUGAACGAAAUGUGUUUACUGCUACAAAUGAGCAGGUUGAUGGUUGCAGGGAAUGGUCGGACGGAAGUGCAAUAAAGCAUUGCACUUCAAUCGUCUUACAUGGUAUCAAGAAUAAUUUGCUUCCUGAAGUACUGGAAUGUCCUCAGCUCGAACUUCUUUUUAUAAGUGAUGAUCCUUGGGAAUAUUCACGAGUAACAAUUCCAGACAACUUUUUCAAGAGCAUGAUCGAGGUCAGAGUUGUAAACUUGACUAACAUGGAUCUACGGUCAUUGCCUUCAUCACUUGGUCUCCUGUCAAACCUUCGAACACUGAGUUUGUGUUGGUGCUACCUGCCUGAUCUAAGUGUUGUAGGAGGCUUGAAGAAACUAGAAAUCCUUUGCUUAAGAGAUUCUGAUAUUAAGAAGUUGCCGGUAGAAGUAGGUGAAUUGACUUGGCUAAAGUUGCUUGAUUUGAGAGAUUGUGAGGACCUAGAAGUUAUUCCACCAAAUAUACUGUCAAAAUUAUCCCGUUUAGAAGAACUAUAUAUAGGUCCUAAAAGCUUUGAUAAAUGGGAGGUGGAGGUGGAAGGGGUUAAGAAUGCAAGCCUUGAGGAGUUGAAGCAUUUGCCCAACUUGACCUCUUUGGAAUUACGCGCCCGUGACGUCAGCACUCUGCCCAGAGGCCUGCUCUUGGAGAAGCUGGAAAGGUACAGCAUACGCAUUGGAGAUGAUGGCUAUUGGGAGAGCACCGGCAUUGGGUGUCGUGAAUUCAGUCUCGAGCUAAAUAACAAGAUUUGCUUGAAGGAUUCGCUGAUCGUGCAACUGCAGAGAAUUGAAGACCUUGAGUUAUGGGGAUUGCAAGAGCAAGAUGUUGAUUAUUUUCGUAAUGAAUUAGUCAAAGUGGGCUCUUCCCAUCUCAAGCGUCUCUGGCUCGCCCUCAAUCCGGCAGAGUCAGAGGUAUGAUCAUUCCUAAUUUAAAUAAUUGGUAUGAGAGGGUUCUUUUCACCUGGGAUUCGAAUAUCGUUUUGUCAAUUUAUACAUUAGACUAAAGCUAGAAAUUUCUAGUGCAUCACAGUAAUUAAUUUUGAAAAGUCUUCAAAUAUUAUAUUAUUCUCAUUUUAAAAGCAACCAUUUGCAAAAAAAAUCUUUAAUGUUUGCAAUUUAAUUACUGCUGUCCGGCCAAGGCGGAUGUACGGUACAGCAGAUCAUUCCGGAGGAUACCUUGCUUAUGCCUAACAAAGACUUCGAGGCCUUUGAAUCAAGAACGUCCAUUCUGAAUGAAAUAAUUGAUGCAUUAAAAAAUCCCAAUGUCAACAUGCUUUUGAUUUAUGGAAUGGGCGGAAUCGGAAAGACGACGCUAGCUAAAGAAGUUGCUAGAAAAGCAGAGAGUGACAAGCUUUUCGAUCAGGUGGUUUUUUCUGAGGUGUCUGAGAGUCGAGACGUAAGAAAGCUUCAAGGAGAAAUCGCGGAUAAACUAGGUCUAAAAUUUGAUGAGGAGAGUGAAUCGGGUAGGGCAAGAAGACUCUAUGAUCGACUGAAGAAAGAGAAGAGGAUCCUUGUAAUCUUGGAUAAUAUUUGGGAAAAUCUUGAUUUGUUGGAUGUCGGAAUUCCUCACGGAGAUGAUCACAUGGGAUGUAAAGUGCUGUUCACGGCAAGGAGUGAAGAAGUAUUGUCUGGAGAGAUGGAGUCUCGAAAAAAUUUCCCAGUUGGAUUUUUAAAAGAAGAUGAAGCUUGGAGUCUAUUCACGAAGAUGGCAGGUGAUUAUGUUGAAGGUAAUGAAUUGAAAGAGGUAGCAAGGGAUGUGGCAAAGGAAUGUGCAGGUCUACCAGUUUCCAUUGUGACGGUUGCAAGGGCAUUAAGGAACAAGAGCAUACGUGAAUGGAAGGAUGCAUUGGAACAGCUAAGAAGGCCUUCUUCAUCGAAUUUUAAGGAUGUACAGCCAGAUGCAUAUGAAGCCAUAAAGUGGAGUUACGACAAAUUGGUAGGGGAGGAGCUGAAGAACAUCUUUUUGCUAAUAGGAUAUACAGCCAUAUCAUCUAUUCAUGACUUGUUAAUGUGUGGUAUGGGAUUGGGUUUAUUUCAAGGUGUGAAUAAGAUUGAAGUAGCACGAAAUCGAGUACAUACAUUGGUGCGCACACUCAAAGCUUCUUGUAUGUUGCUUGACCAUAUAAGCCAGAAGAAAGAGUUGUUUUCUAUGCAUGAUGUAGUUCGCGAUGUCGCCAUAUCAAUUGCAUCUACUGAACGAAAUGUGUUUACUGCUACAAAUGAGCAGGUUGAUGGUUGCAGGGAAUGGUCGGACGGAAGUGCAAUAAAGCAUUGCACUUCAAUCGUCUUACAUGAUAUCAACACUAAUUUGCUUCCUAAAGUACUGGAAUGUCCUCAGCUCGAACUUCUUUUUAUAAGUGAUGAUCCUUGGGAAUAUUCACGAGUAACAAUUCCAGACAACUUUUUCAAGAGCAUGAUACAGGUCAGAGUUGUAAACUUGACUGACAUGGAUCUACGGUCACUGCCUUCAUCACUUGGUCUCCUGUCAAACCUUCGAACACUGAGUUUGUGUUGGUGCUACCUGCCUGAUCUAAGUGUUGUAGGAGGCUUGAAGAAACUAGAAAUCCUUUGCUUAAGAGAUUCUGAUAUUAAGAAGUUGCCGGUAGAAGUAGGUGAAUUGACUUGGCUAAAGUUGCUUGAUUUGAGAGAUUGUGAGGACCUAGAAGUUAUUCCACCAAAUAUACUGUCAAAAUUAUCCCGUUUAGAAGAACUAUAUAUAGGUCCUAAAAGCUUUGAUAAAUGGGAGGUGGAGGUGGAAG